rnacentral:rRNA from 1 species
AUUGAACGCUGGCGGCGUGCUUAACACAUGCAAGUCGAUCGGUAACGCGGGGGCAACCCUGGCGACGAGAGGCGGACGGGUGAGGAACGCUUGGGAAUCUGCCUAUCAGCGGGGGACAACACGGGGAAACUCGUGCUAAUACCGCAUACGCUCUACGGAGGAAAGCCGGGGACCGCAAGGCCUGGCACUGAUAGAUGAGCCCAGGCCGGAUUAGCUAGUUGGCGGGGUAACGGCCCAACAAGGCGACGAUCCGUAGCUGGUCUGAGAGGACGAUCAGCCACACUGGGACUGAGACACGGCCCAGACUCCUACGGGAGGCAGCAGUGGGGAAUAUUGGACAAUGGGGGAAACCCUGAUCCAGCGACGCCGCGUGGGUGAAGAAGGCCUGCGGGUUGUAAAGCCCUUUCGGUAGGGACGAAAGCUCUCGACCUAACACGUCGGGAGGUUGACUUAACCUACAAAAGAAGCACCGGCUAACUCUGUGCCAGCCGCCGCAGUAA